AUUGAACGCUGGCGGCAGGCUUAACACAUGCAAGUCGAGCGAGCGGCGGACGGGUGCUUACUUUCUGGGAAACUGCCUGAUGGAGGGGGCUAACUACUGGAAACGGUAGCUAAUACCGCCUACCAUCCGAUUUGCCCAGUUGGGAUGAUCUAGGAGGUGGGGUAAUGGGUCACCUAGGCGACGAUCCCUAGCUUGUCUGAGAGGAUGACCAUCCACACUGGAACUGAGACACGGGCCAGACGCCUACGGGAGGCAGCAGUGGGGAAUAUUGCACAAUGGGCGGAAGCCUGAUGCGGCCAUGCCGCGUGUGUGAAGAAGGCCUUCGGGUUGUAAAGCACUUUCAGCGAGGAGGCGUUACGCGCAGAAGAAGCACCGGCUAACUCCGUGCCAGCAGCCGCGGUAGUAC
rnacentral:rRNA from 1 species